rfam:Asian citrus Psyllid, Diaphorina citri - Florida Strain, whole genome shotgun sequence.
ACCUAGUUAGCUUAGCUGGUAGCGCGUCUGCCUUGUAAGCGCUAGGCCGCGGGUUCGAUUCCCGCCCGGGGCG